ACAAGCGGUGGAUGAUGUGGUUUAAUUCGAUGCAACGCGAAAACUUACCACCUUUGACAUGUACGGAACUCGCCAGAGAUGGCUUGGUGCUCGAAAGAGAACCGUAACACAGGUGCUGCAUGGCUGUCGUCAGCUCGUGUCGUGAGAUGUUGGGUUAAGUCCCGCAACGAGCGCAACCCUUGUUCAUUAGUUGCUACAUUUAGUUGGGCACUCUAAUGAGACUGCCGGUGACAAGCCGGAGGAAGGUGGGGAUGACGUCAAGUCCUCAUGGCCCUUAUAGUGGGGCGUACACACGUCAUACAAUGGCUGGUACAGAGGGUUGCCAACCCGCGAGGGGGAGGCUAAUACCCAUAAAACCAGUCGUAGUCCGGAUCGCAGUCUGCAACUCGACUGCGUGAAGUCGGAAUCGCUAGUAAUCGCGGAUCAGAAUGUCGCGGUGAAUACGUUCCCGGGUCUU
rnacentral:rRNA from 1 species